AUAUAUAUAUAUAAUGACAUGUAUUAUAUAUAUAUAUAUAAUAUGCAUCACACAUACUAGAAACAAGUUGGGAACAUUAAAAUUUUGAAUAAACCCUAAAAACCCCAAACAUCUCAAAUCACAGUCCUGUGCUCAUGUAAUAAAAAUUCUUGUAGCAGUCUGUUGCCACAACAGCACACUGAUAAGAACACUGUGUGUACACAAACAGGUAUCUCACGCUACACGAUUCUUCACUUGGCACUAGUUCAUAAAUGAUCUUUGCACUGCUUCAUAUAAACAAACGCUGGGGGAAGAUGACACAUUUUCAUGUGACUUUUGGUGUGCCAGUUGAGUUUAGGCAGAACAACAGUUCCCCGUAUUGCUGCCUGUUUACUAGAUUUUGCAGAAAAAGAACAAGAUGACCUAAUACUGAAAUAAAGGGAUAUAACAGCUGGAAUGAAACAUCUCAGUUUUCUAAUCUAGUCUUCUUUUCUAGUUCAAGUCUAGUUUCUCAAAUAUGUGUAUUUGCAUGUUUAUCUGUAUACAAUUUAAGAAAUCUGAUUUAAUAAGAAUUGAUUGUUGGUGGCAGGUCUUUAACCAGUUUGUAUUGGGUAUUUUGAGAAAGUAAUUUCUGGAAUGUACCAUUAAGUCGUUUACUAGCUAAAUACCUGUCAUCAAACAUCCCACCUGAAGUAAUCUUGUACUAAUGUUACACAACAAUCUAUGUUAGUCCGUCACUCAUCAUGAAAAACGAAUGACUAACUGUUUACUGGAAGGGUCAGUUAUUUUGGUUCUUGUAAGUCCUUCGUCCUAGGUGAUAAAAGGGGAAACUCCCAACGGGCGGUUUGUAGGGACACAGCUGAAGGGGCAACACUCACGAUCAAUGAGUACACCCGGCCUGAACAACGUGCCCGCUCCUCAGCGCCACAUUUCAUAAAAACGGCGUUGAGAUAACGACAACUCGCUGGAUGAGGCUUGUGUGGCCACCCGGAAGCGACACGAGAAUGUGGGUGGGACAGGAAGUCCCCGCAGAUAAGCGGUCCGGCGGGAAACUUGGAGAUGUUGAGAAGCUCUUCUUACAGAACAGACAGCUGUGUGGCUUCUCCCCGGUGUGUGUCCUGAUGUGCAUGUUGAGGUCGGAGGAGCACCUGAACCUCCUCUCGCAGUAGGAGCAGGGAUAAGGUCGUUCGCCUGUGUGGAUCCGUUUGUGGAGGAGCAGCUCACCGGAGGACCUGUGAUGAGACCAUGAUUGUGAAAACAUUGCUGUCACUCACCCCUGUGUAUCCUGGUGGGCGGAUUCGUUCUAGUCUCAUCUAAUACCCACUGACUCACUUUCGAUCGCAGUCGGAGAAGCAGUUUGCCCCGUUGCUUUGGACUGAGCAGGUCAGGAACUGUGGCCGUCACCAGUGAUACAAACUCAUCCAGCUUUUCAUAAUCAAGAACGUGUCUCUGCUGAGCCACCUGCCACAUCGCUGCAGAGAGCAGCCGCAGAGGAGGGAUCAGCAGCCUUAGUGACGACAAUGGUGUCUCCAUUUAAUCCACAACAUCCGUGGAUCAGAGAGAGUCUUUGUACAAUGAAGAAGUUCUUUGAGACCAGGACAGAGGCCUCCAGGUGUCACCACGUUGUCCAUGAUCGCAGAGACAUGGUCCAUGAUCGGAGAGACAUUGUUGAGGAUGAGGGAGACAUUGUCCACGAUCAAAGACAUUGUCCACGAUCGCAGAGACCUUGUCAAAGAUGAGAGAGACGUUGUCCAUGAUCAGAGACAUUGUCCCAUGCUUCGUAGAGACCUUGCGAUAGAAUCGGCGGAGACGGGGGUCACCGAUUUGACGGCAUUGCCCGCGAUCAUGGAGACGUUGUCAAUGAUCACUGAGACACCGUCUAUGAUCUCAGAGACAUCGUCCACGAUCACAAAGACAUAGUCCAUGAUUGCAGAGACGUUGUCCAUAAUCUCAGAGACAUUGUCCGCGAUCACAGAGACGUAGUCCACGAUCACAGAGACUCUUCGUACAGUGAAGAAGUUCUUUGAGACCAGGACAGAAGCCUCCAGGUGUCACCACGUUGUCCAUGAUCGCAGAGACAUGGUCCAUGAUCGGAGAGACAUUGUUGAGGAUGAGGGAGACAUUGUCCACGAUUGCAGAGACCUUGUCAAAGAUGAGAGAGACGUUGUCCAUGAUCAGAGACAUUGUCCCAUGCUUCGUAGAGACCUUGCGAUAGAAUCGGCGGAGACGGGGGUCACCGAUUUGACGGCAUUGCCCGCGAUCAUGGAGACGUUGUCAAUGAUCACUGAGACACCGUCUAUGAUCUCAGAGACAUCGUCCACGAUCACAAAGACAUAGUCCAUGAUUGCAGAGACGUUGUCCAUAAUCUCAGAGACAUUGUCCGCGAUCACAGAGACGUAGUCCACGAUCACAGAGACUCUUCGUACAAUGAAGAAGUUCUUUGAGACCAGGACAGAAGCCUCCAGCUCCUUUCACAAAAACAACAGGAUCCAUCAAUGGGGAAGGAAGAGAAGAUGACAGCAGCUGAAGACCUGAAGUGGAUGAAAGAAACUCAAGUCAAAAGUGUUACAAAGCUGUUAAUUAGAUAGAAGACCUCCACCAUCUAACUGCUGUAAACAGUGUUGGUUUCCUGUUACUCAAGUGAAACACUUUGUUUUUCUCUAACAUCUAUAAUGUAGCCAUAUGCACAUUUUCUAAAGACUUGUGUGUUGUUAUAAAGCACCAGUGAGAACAGUCAACUGCUUAUGAUACAACUAUGUAAUUAAUAAUUGUACCACAAGCAGUUAAAUGAUCACAAAGAUGCUUAGUAGACAUGCGCACAUUUUCCAAAGAUGAACAUAACUACAUUGAUCCUAACAAGUGUUUCCUUGUGGUCAAAUGUCUGUCAUUAUCUUUGCUAUGAUUUGUUAAAUGUUGUCUGGAAUAAAAUCAUUAAAAGUU